UACGGAGGGUGCAAGCGUUGCUCGGAAUUAUUGGGCGUAAAGGGCAGGUAGGUGGUCUCAUUUGUCUGGGGUGAAAGCCUUGAGCUUAACUCAAGAAGUGCCCCAGAAACGGUGAGACUCGAGUCCUAGAGAGGCUAGUGGAAUUCCCGGUGUAGCGGUGAAAUGCGUAGAGAUCGGGAGGAACACCAAUAGCGAAGGCAGCUCGCUGGGACGUUACUGACACUGAGGCGCGAAAGCGUGGGGAGCGAACAGG
rnacentral:rRNA from 1 species